CCUACGGGAGGCAGCAGUGAGGAAUAUUGGUCAAUGGACGGAAGCCUGAACCAGCCAAGUAGCGUGCAGGAUGAAGGCCCUACGGGUCGUAAACCGCUUUUGUACGGGGAUAAAACCCUCCACUUGUGGAGGUUUGCAGGUACCGUACGAAUAAGGGCCGGCUAAUUCCGUGCCAGCAGCCGCGGUAAUACGGAAGGCCCGAGCGUUAUCCGGAUUCAUUGGGCUAAAAGGGAGCGUAGGCGGGUGUUCAAGUCAGCUGUAAAAUCUCGCGGCUCAACCGCGCCCCGCAGUUGAAACUGGGAGCCUUGAGUACACAACAGGCAGGCGGAAUUCGUGGUGUAGCGGUGAAAUGCAUAGAUAGCACGAGGAACCCCGAUUGCGAAGGCAGCCUGCCGGGGUGCGACUGACGCUGAGGCUCGAAGGUGCGGGUAUCAAACAGGAUUAGAUACCCGAGUAGUC
rnacentral:rRNA from 1 species